rnacentral:lncRNA from 1 species
AAAUAUUCCUAUUCUCAAAUACCCCUAUUCUCAAAUACUCCUUUAUUCUCAAAUACCCCUUUAAUCUCAAAUACCCCUAUUCUCAAAUACCCAUAUUCUCAAAAUACCCCUUUAAUCUCAAAUACCCCUAUUCUCAAAUACCCCUAUUUACAAAUACCCCUUUAUUCUCAAAUACCCCUAUUCUCAAAUACCCAUAUUCUCAAAAUACUCCUUUAAUCUCAAAUACCCCUUAUUCUCAAAUACCCAUAUUCUCAAAAUACUCCUUUCAUCUCAAAUACUCAUAUUCUCAAAUACCCCUAUUCUCAAAUACUCCUUUAAUCUCAAAUACUCGUAUUCUCAUAUACCCCUUUAAUCUCAAAUACUCCUAUUCUCAAAUACCCAUUUAAUCUGAAAUAUUCAUAUUCUCAAAUACCCAUUAAUCUCAAAUACCCUUAAUCUCAAAUACUCAUUAAUCAAAAAUACCACUAAUCUCAAAUACCCAUUUAAUCUCAAAUAUUCAUAUUCUCAAAUACCCAUUAAUCUCAAAUACCCUUAAUCUCAAAUACUCAUUAAUCAAAAAUACCACUAAUCUCAAAUACCCUUUAAUUUAAAAUACCCUUAAUCUCAAAUACCAUUUAAUCCCAUAUAUCCUUUAAUCUCAAAUAACUCUUAAUCCCAAAUACCCCUAAUCUCAAAUAUCCAUUAAUCGCAAAUAACUCUAACCUCGUAUAUCCUUAUUCUCAAAUACCUUUUAAUCACAUAUACCCUCUAAACACAAAUACAUUUUAAUCCCACAUCCUCUUAAUCUUAAAUACCCAUUAAUUUCAUAUACCCCUUAA